rnacentral:RNase_P_RNA from 2 species
UGCACAAGUCAACCGCUGGUAUUUUUAAGUUUUUAAUUUAAAAAUACUUGAGGAAAGUCCGCGCUAGCACUACCUGCGAUGGUAGUAGUGUUCAUGUUGGAUCUAAGAAAUCCAAGCCUAGACGACAAGUGCCACAGAGACGAGUUUAUUUGUUUAUUAUUUUAUAAAUUUUUCAUAAUCAUUGUUCACUCCUAAAAAAUCCUAACAAAUAAAGUGAAACGCGGUAAACUCCAUGAGCUAGAAACCUAAAUUUUGGUAGGGGAAUCCAAUUUGGGAAACGAACUUAAAUUGGAAGGUUGUAAAAGACCUAGAUAAAUGGUUGACUAAUACAGAACGCGGCUUAUUAGU